CAAGGGAAUGGUGUCAUGGGAGUCUAAAGAAAAGUAUUGUCAAUAUCCUAGGGCUGCUGUAACAAAGGACCACAGACUGGGUGGCUUAAACAACAGUCUCACAGUUCUGGAGGCCAGAAGUCCAGGAUCAAGGUGUCGGCAGGGUUGGUUCCUUCUGAGAGUUGAAAAGGAGAAUCUGUUCCAUGCCUUCUCCUAGCUUCUGGUGGUUUGCUGGCAAUCUUUUGCAUUCCUUGGCUUGCUCCGGACACGCAGGCUCAGCGGCCAUGGCUCACGGGCCCAGCCGCUCCGCGGCAUGUGGGAUCUUCCCGGACCGGGGCACGAAUCCGUGUCCCCUGCAUCGGCAGGCGGACUCUCAACCACUGCGCCACCAGGGAAGCCCCAACAUAAAUGACACUCUUAAUGACAAAAUUUUUUUUCAAAACAAAGUCUAGCAAGAAGAGUGGCAUUGUUUUACUUUUUUUUCCAAAUGUCUUUAAUAUCUGGCUUUAUAAAAGACAUCUAGGAUCUC